rnacentral:rRNA from 1 species
AUUGAACGCUGGCGGCAGGCCUAACACAUGCAAGUCGAGCGGAUGAAGGGAGCUUGCUCUCUGAUUUAGCGGCGGACGGGUGAGUAAUGCCUAGGAAUCUGCCUGGUAGUGGGGGAUAACGUUCCGAAAGGAACGCUAAUACCGCAUACGUCCUACGGGAGAAAGCGGGGGAUCUUCGGACCUCGCGCUACCAGAUGAGCCUAGGUCGGAUUAGCUAGUUGGUGAGGUAAAGGCUCACCAAGGCGACGAUCCGUAACUGGUCUGAGAGGAUGAUCAGUCACACUGGGACUGAGACACGGUCCAGACUCCUACGGGAGGCAGUAGUGGGGAAUAUUGGACAAUGGGCGAAAGCCUGAUCCAGCCAUGCCGCGUGUGUGAAGAAGGUCUUCGGAUUGUAAAGCACUUUAAGUUGGGAGGAAGGGUUGUAGAUUAAGACUCUGCAAUUUUGACGUUACCGACAGAAUAAGCACCGGCUAACUUCGUGCCAGCAGCCGCCGUAAAAC